GAUGAAGAACGCAGCGAAAUGCGAUACGUAAUGUGAAUUGCAGAAUUCAGUGAAUCAUCGAGUCUUUGAACGCACAUUGCGCCCCCUGGUAUUCCGGGGGGCAUGCCUGUCCGAGCGUCAUUGCCGCCCUCAAGCACGGCUUGUGUGUUGGGCCCCCGCCCCCCGGCUUCGGGGGGCGGGCCCGAAAGGCAGCGGCGCCACCGCGUCCGGUCCUCGAGCGUAUGGGGCUUCGUCACCCGCUCUGUAGGCCCGGCCGGCGCCCGCCGGCGACCCCAAUCAAUCUUUCCAGGUUGACCUCGGAUCAGGUAGGGAUACCCGCUGAACUUAAGCAUAUCAAUAAGCGGAGGA
rnacentral:misc_RNA from 1 species